AGAAGGCCAGUGUUGUUCCUGGCUGUGUGCGAUCGAACGAGAGAGGGAGCCAAGGGGGAAACCCUACUUCUUAAAAAUCCUACAAAUUGAAGGGAUUGAAAGCUGAAUUCUAGGUGCAUGAGUUAGGAAGUAAGAUCUCCUAACUAUAUUAGAUACCAAGGUCGAAGAAAGGAGGGGAAUCAAACCAAGCAAAGGCAAUAGGAGCGCACGACUCCGGGUCGAAGAAAGGAGGGGAAUCAAACCAAGCAAAGGCAAUAGGAGCGCACGACUCCGGUGAAUCUCACUCUUGAUAAUGGCGAGCUUGGAUCGAACACACCACAUCGCCCUUUAUGCGCUUCCGGUUAAAGUUGUCUUUGUAAAUGGGUCGAAACACUUUCAUAAUGUAAAUGUUAAAUUUAUGUCUAGGAUGUUUUGUAGGUAAGUUAGGAUUUUAAAUCUUAUUUUGGUAGUUCGGACAAAACGCUUUUGAUGGAAUCUUGAAUGGUUACAACUUUUAUGUCU